GACGAACGCUGGCGGUGUGCUUAACACAUGCAAGUCGAACGGUAAGGCCCUUUCGGGGGUACACGAGUGGCGAACGGGUGAGUAACACGUGAGUAACCUGCCCUCAUCUCUGGGAUAACAGUCGGAAACGGUUGCUAAUACUGGAUAUGAGCUUGCAAGGCAUCUUGUGGGUUGGAAAGAUUUUUUUUGGUUGGGGAUGGACUCGCGGCCUAUCAGCUUGUUGGUGAGGUAGUGGCUCACCAAGGCUUCGACGGGUAGCCGGCCUGAGAGGGCGACCGGCCACAUUGGGACUGAGAUACGGCCCAAACUCCGACGGGAGGCAGCAGUGGGGAAUAUUGCACAAUGGACGGAAGUCUGAUGCAGCAACGCCGCGUGCGGGAUGACGGCCUUCGGGUUGUAAACCGCUUUCAAUUGUGACGAAGCUUUUUUGUGACGGUAGCAGUAGAAGAAGCACCGGCUAACUACGUG
rnacentral:rRNA from 1 species